rnacentral:lncRNA from 1 species
GUAGUAGAUAGAUACCAGUAUACUACUGUCUAAACUGAGGUAAUAGAUAGAUACCAGUAUACUACUGUCUAAACUGAGGUAAUAGAUAGAUACCAGUAUACUACUGUCUAAACUGAGGUAAUAGAUAGAUACCAGUAUACUACUGUCUAAACUGAGGUAGUAGAUAGUUCCAGUAUACUACUGUCUAAACUGAGGUAGUAUGCAGCCAGUACAUCCGUUCAGCAAGGCCUUUCUCUCUGUUGUGAGAUGGUGAGAUGGUAUAAACCAUGUGAGAUGGUAUAAAUGGCAAGUAAUAGUCAUUUGGCAGAAUGUUUCG